GAAUAUUGGACAAUGGGCGCAAGCCUGAUCCAGCCAUGCCGCGUGAGUGAAGAAGGCCUUAGGGUUGUAAAGCUCUUUCGCCGGGGAAGAUAAUGACGGUACCCGGAGAAGAAGCCCCGGCUAACUCCGUGCCAGCAGCCGCGGUAAUACGGAGGGGGCUAGCGUUGUUCGGAAUUACUGGGCGUAAAGCGCGCGUAGGCGGCCUGCCAAGUUGGGGGUGAAAGCCCGGAGCUCAACUCCGGAAUUGCCUUCAAAACUGGCUGGCUUGAGUCCGGGAGAGGUGAGUGGAAUUCCCAGUGUAGAGGUGAAAUUCGUAGAUAUUGGGAAGAACACCAGUGGCGAAGGCGGCUCACUGGACCGGUACUGACGCUGAGGUGCGAAAGCGUGGGGAGCAAACAGG
rnacentral:rRNA from 1 species